UGAUCGUCGAGUAGGGAGAUCGGCGAGGUGUGGGAAAUGGCGUUGAGGAACGAGAAUUGAUCAUCCUUUUUCUAGACGUCAUGGGCGUAGGUUGCUACUAAUGCCUAAGAGUCAUGGAAAUAAGAAACAACGUGUCUUACAUGUGACUUCCAUAUAAUCAAAUAUGAACCAGCAAUUAAACAGAAGAGAAGUGCGUUUGUUUAUCGAGAAGCGAUACGAAUACAAGUGGGAAUGAAAAGGCUAUGAUGUAAGGAAAGGAAAGACUAGAGAGAACAAAGCAGUCUUGAAUGGAUCAAUGAAUAGAAAUGCCAGAGAAAAGAGUAUUGAGCACGAUACUGAGUGGACCAACAGAAAGUAACGACUGAGUAAAGAGUAUAAAGUUGAGUUUGGAGAAGACCAGAGAAAGAGUAUGAUAUUUAGUAGACCAGAUAUAGAACAAAGGAUUAAGUCAAAUUCAAUUUUCUAAAUUCCAGAAAUGCAUCUUAAGAUAAUUGAAGCCAAGGAAUUAGUAUUCAAAGAUACUAAUGGAGAGAGUAAUCCGUUUUGCGUUUUUAUCUCGAAUCAGCUCCUAUUAGGAAAUAUAACAGCUGUACAAAAUCCAUGGGAAAAAAAUGUUCAGUUAUGAGUUGCUUCUUCAAUGAUUUAUAAUUACUUUUCUUUAUUCGAUUAUUAUGCGUCUGGAUGUGUGUAACGCUCCAUACUCUACUACAUCAAGAAGUUUGAGCACAUAGCAAGUAAUACUAGACCGGAGACUAAAUCGGAUGAAGAUGCAAUCAGAUAUCAAAUUAAGACAAGAACGUUGUAUAUUAUGUAUGAAAAAAAGCAAAAAAUAAUUUACAUGUGCAUGUAUGCUAUGAAAGAUGUGUUUACUGAGAUUGAAACGCAUAGAAGUUGAUAGUAAUAAUGAUUCUGAGUUGACGCUUGUUCAAAUUCGAUCUCACAUUUCAACGAUAUGCUAUACUGGGCCAAAUUGUUUGUGCCGAAGGACAAUUGGAAUUUGAAAAAAUACGAAAUUAUAACGACUGGUAGUUUAGAGCUGGUGUAGCACACUUUGAAUGGAUAUUGCAGUAUACAAGGCUUUAAAGAACUUUUUCAGUUAGUUUAUAGCAAUGUAGAAAUCACGUUCAUUCUACUCUAAUCUGCACCGAAGACUUCAUGCACUCAUUAAAUUAUACAAUCUUGAUACAGAUGAGAGAUGCCAUAUGCAGAUUUUUUAGAAGAUUGAAUAACAUCCCGAUACUCACUUUUCGUGUAGGUAAGCUUCAAUAAUUUAUAAGUUUGAUAAUUUUCUAAUAAUUUAGACGAUCUUUAGUGCAUACGGAAAGCAAGAAACAAAUAUUGAAGCAAUUGUAGAUUCGCUUAAACUUUUCAUAGCUCGUUAAGUGUAAUAAUAAUUUUUAUUUAAAAUACCGAUGUUAAAUUUUAUAUUGGAAGUCAUUGCGUUUAUUAAAUAUAAUUUUAAUUUAUAUUGUCUAUACUGAACAAUAUUAAUGUGGCAAUUGUUGGCAUAUUGUAAUGUAAAUAAAAACAAUAAACAUCGGAACUCUCUCAGGACGUUUUUCGUACAAGUAUCAAACUAAUUACAAAGUAAAUAUAUUUUUAUAUUAAACGCUUGCUUAAAUAAUUUACACAGUUC